UACGUAGGUGGCGAGCGUUGUCCGGAAUUACUGGGUGUAAAGGGCGUGUAGGCGGGACUGUAAGUCAGAUGUGAAAUUCCAAGGCUUAACCUUGGCGCUGCAUCUGAAACUAUGGUUCUUGAGUGCUGGAGAGGAAAGCGGAAUUCCUAGUGUAGCGGUGAAAUGCGUAGAUAUUAGGAAGAACACCGGUGGCGAAGGCGGCGACCUGGUCCGACACUGACGCUGAGGCGCGAAAGCGUGGGGAGCAAACAGG
rnacentral:rRNA from 1 species